GUUAAUCGGAAUUACUGGGCGUAAAGCGUGCGCAGGCGGUUUUAUAAGACAGAUGUGAAAUCCCCGGGCUCAAACUGUGAACUGCAUUUGUGACUGUAGAGCUGGAGUACGGCAGAGGGGGAUGGAAUUCCGCGUGUAGCAGUGAAAUGCGUAGAUAUGCGGAGGAACACCGAUGGCGAAGGCAAUCCCCUGGGCCUGUACUGACGCUCAUGCACGAAAGCGUGGGGAGCAAACAGG
rnacentral:rRNA from 1 species